rnacentral:lncRNA from 1 species
GCAAAAAGAAAGCUUCAAAAACUCUAAACAAUCCAUUAAAACCAUUUUAAGCUUAAUCCUCCCGUAAGUCACUUUCGAUCAUUUUAACACCUUCGGACUUUCCGAAGUGUACUAUCCUCGCACUUUGGUCAAUUUGAUUAAAGUUCGAUAUUUAUUUUUCGAAUUUUCGGUAUAUUACACCUGAUGAGGAUCUGCGACGGAUGACUGCGUAGGCAGAUUGAGGUGAUCGAAGUGUGAGACUCUUAACGUUUGAUUGAGUGGUUUGGAAAGCUCAAGGAGGGAAAUUACCAAGUUACUUGUUUCCCCUUUUCCGGUUUAUGCACAAAGGAAUUAAGUUCAUUGGAUAGAACUGUAUAAAAGAGUUUGUGGAAUCGAUGUUUUGGUUGAUAGUCAUAUCAAGAUGAACCCCGUAUACUUCGGAAAAGAGUAGUGAUGCCUUGAUUGCAAUUCAGCAUAGGAAGUGAUGAUCAUAUCCUUUCUGGAUUAAAGGAUUUAUGGAGAGACAGCUUUGAUAGAGAACUUAUUAUUGAAUUAUGAAU